UACGAAGGUCCCAAGCGUUGUUCGGAAUCACUGGGCGUAAAGCGUGUGUAGGCGGCAGAGUAAGUCAGAUGUGAAAUCCCGGGGCUCAACCCCGGAACUGCAUCCGAUACUGCUCUGCUAGAGUAGCGGAGGGGCAUCUGGAAUUCACGGUGUAGCAGUGAAAUGCGUAGAUAUCGUGAGGAACACUAGUGGCGAAGGCGAGAUGCUGGACGCUUACUGACGCUCAAACACGAAGGCUAGGGUAGCGAAAGGG
rnacentral:rRNA from 1 species